rnacentral:rRNA from 1 species
AGAGUUUGAUCCUGGCUCAGAAUCAACGCUGGCGGCGUGCCUAACACAUGCAAGUCGAACGCGAAGGUCCCGCAAGGGACUUGUAGCGUGGCAAACGGGUGAGUAACGCGUGGGCGACCUACCUCUGAGUGGGGGAUAACCUUCCGAAAGGAGGGCUAAUACCGCAUGACAUCCCAUGUUUGGAUACAUGGAUAUCAAAGCCGGGGAUCGCAAGACCUGGCGCUUGGAGAGGGGCCCGCGUCCGAUUAGCUAGUUGGUGGGGUAACGGCUCACCAAGGCUCCGAUCGGUAUCCGGCCUGAGAGGGCGGACGGACACACUGGGACUGAGACACGGCCCAGACUCCUACGGGAGGCAGCAGUGGGGAAUUGUUCGCAAUGGGCGCAAGCCUGACGACGCAACGCCGCGUGGAGGAUGAAGACCUUCGGGUCGUAAACUCCUUUCGACCGAGAUGAAUUUCCGCCGACCUAAUACGUCGGCGGAGUGACAGUAUCGA